rnacentral:rRNA from 1 species
AGUGAACGCUGGCGGUAGGCCUAACACAUGCAAGUCGAACGGCAGCACAGUAAGAGCUUGCUCUUACGGGUGGCGCGUGGCGGACGGGUGAGGUAUACAUCGGAAUCUACUUUUUCGUGGGGGAUAACGUAGGGAAACUUACGCUAAUACCGCAUACGACCUACGGGUGAAAGCAGGGGAUCUUCGGACCUUGCGCGAUUGAAUGAGCCGAUGUCGGAUUAGCUAGUUGGCGGGGUAAGGCCCAACCAGGCGACGAUCCGUAGCUGGUCUGAGAGGAUGAUCAGCCACACUGGAACUGAGACACGGUACAGACUCCUACGGGAGGCAGCAGUGGGGAAUAUUGGACAAUGGGCGCAAGCCUGAUCCAGCCAUACCGCGUGGGUGAAGAAGGCCUUCGGGUUGUAAAGCCCUUUUGUUGGGAAAGAAAAGCAGCAGGUUAAUACCCCGCUGUUCUGACGGUACCAAAAGAAUAAGCACCGGCUAACUUCGUG